rnacentral:rRNA from 1 species
AUUGAACGCUGGCGGCAGGCCUAACACAUGCAAGUCGAGCGGAUGACGGGAGCUUGCUCCUUGAUUCAGCGGCGGACGGGUGAGUAAUGCCUAGGCAUCUGCCGGGUAGUGGGGGACAACGUUUCGAAAGGAACGCUAAUACAGCAUACGUCCUACGGGAGAAAGCAGGGGACCUUCGGGCCUUGCGCUAUCAGAUGAGCCCAGGUCGGAUUAGCUAGUUGGUGGGGUAAUGGCUAACCAAGGCGACGAUCCGUAACUGGUCUGAGAGGAUGAUCAGUCACACUGGAACUGAGACACGGUCCAGACUCCUACGGGAAGCAGCAGUGGGGAAUAUUGGACAAUGGGCGAAAGCCUGAUCCAGCCAUGCCGCGUAUGUGAAGAAGGUCUUCGGAUUGUAAAGCACUUUAAGUUGGGAGGAAGGGCAGUAAGUUAAUACCUUGCUGUUUUGACGUUACCGACAGAAUAAGCACCGGCUAACUCUGUGCCAGCAGCCGCGGUAAUAC